UACAGAGGUCUCAAGCGUUGUUCGGAUUCAUUGGGCGUAAAGGGUGCGUAGGCGGCGCGGUAAGUCGGGUGUGAAAUCUUGGAGCUUAACUCCGAAACUGCAUUCGAUACUGCCGUGCUUGAGGACUGGAGAGGAGACUGGAAUUUACGGUGUAGCGGUGAAAUGCGUAGAUAUCGUAAGGAAGACCAGUGGCGAAGGCGGGUCUCUGGACAGUUACUGACACUGAGGCACGAAGGCCAAGGGAGCAAACGGG
rnacentral:rRNA from 1 species